rnacentral:rRNA from 1 species
GAUGAACGCUGGCGGCGUGCCUAAUACAUGCAAGUCGAGCGAACAGACGAGGAGUUUCCUCCCCUGACGUUAUCGGCGCACGGGUGAGUAACACGUGGAUAACCUACCUAUAAGACUGGGAUCACUUCGGGACACUGGCUCUAAUACCGGAUUAUAUAUUGUACCGCAUUGUUCAAUUGUGAAAUACGGUUUUGCUGUUACCUAUUGAUGGAUCCUCGUCGCAUUAGCUAGUUGGUAAGGUAACGGCUUACCAAGGCAAUCAUUCGUAGCCGACCUGAGAGGGGGAUGGGCCACACUGGAACGGGGACACGGUCAAGACUCCAAGGGGAGGAGGAAGUAGGGAAUCUUCGGAAAUGGGCGAAGGCUUGACGGGGAAAGGCGGCGUGAGUGAGGAAGGUCUUCGGAUCGUAAAACUCUGUUAUUAGGGAAGAACAAAUGUGGAAGUAACUAUGCACGUCUUGACGGUACCUAAUCAGAAAGCCACGGCUAACUACGUG